AUAAGCAAGCAAUGGUUCUUGAGCGCCACUGAAGCAAGCAAUGGUGCUUGAGGUUGCGGGGCCGAGCAGAUAUACAUGAGUGGUACGCAUCUCAUUUUGUCGUCGGGUUCUAAAUGAUCCCUCGAGUUUGCAGCUAUUUGUAUUUACGUUACAAAAGCAUACAUUCAUGGUUUAUGCCCUUUUUAAGGGUCUAGCGGAACUAAAGAGAAAACCAUCAUGUAACCAAUUUUGAAAAUUGAGUUUGAGUUUGAACCAAGAAAAGUUUACCAAAGAAGACAUCAAGGAACUUAUAUUUGGGGAGAUAUUGGAGUACCACCCUUAGCUUCUGAAGGAUUACAUGAACGGCUCUGGAAAAAUGAGCUUUCCAUAUGCUAGGUUUCUGUGACAUGCUUGUAAACUUUUCUCUAUUAUUUUGUUUAUGCAGCAACAUUCACAACUUUUUCCAUUGGCUCUUGAUUUUUUUGUUAUCCAGUGAUGUUGACCAUUUCUGGAGGCAAUUCGCUGACUAAGAAGAUGUUGCUGGGAAGAGUGGGGCAGUCAACAUGAAGCGUGUUUAUCUGAGGUGGCAACUUAAAUUCUCACAUUUUUCCCGAUUGUGAUCAGUUCAAUCUAUAUAUCAGUGUAACAAUGACUUGUGCCGCCAUACGUAGCUUGUGCCAAAAUUGGUCAGAAUUACUACCAAAAUGCCUUAGUUAAUAGGCUUUCCAACAAAGCAGGCUCGUGAUAUUGCAAAGGUUUAUUCAUGCAUAAUACGAAUUAUUGUCUUGCUUCACGGAUUUUGAAAAUUGGUGAUUUUGAUUUUGGGGUGACGUAGAUUUUAGAAUUUUUCAUAUACCGACCUGGUAUUAUUUUUCCAUUUAACUUCAAACAACAUCAGUCUAACUAUUUCGUCGUUGCCACUCUGGCAGCUGGACCAGACAGAGUGGCUUCGUCACGACAUCAAUGCAAAGUGCACGUAUAACUGAUUGACACAUUGGAUGAAUAGGGAAGGGAAUUGACGUAAUACUGCUCUUGCAUGCAAGAACACCUGCAGGGGAUACAUAAUCACUUCAGGCACGCAAGGUCACAUCAGAGAUUGGCAUGCUGUCCUCGGACUAUUACAUUCCACCAUUCAGCAGCAUAGCCACAGCGGGUGGAUAUGACAUGGUUGUUGUGGCAACAAGAAUGUACUACGACAAGGGUCGGGCAAGCUUGCAGUGUCGAGCAUGAGAAGGGAGCCCGAGAACGGCUACAGUUCCUGUUCCAGGCAGAGAUUCAGGGUCCAGGGGCACAUGGUAAAAUUUAUCCCUUUUUCUGAUUUUUUUAUAGUAGAUACUGUAGGAAACAACGGCUGUCUUGUACAUAUGGCAACACUUCAUUUUCUCUGUUCUGCUGUCUGAAGCUGCUGAUGCUCCUGCUUAUGUUAAUACUAGAUAGUUUUGUCAGAGUGGACGUAGUAGUACCUAUGUUUGAGAUGAAGUUGUAGGUUGUAGAGUUUCCUUGUCUGGAUUCUAUGAUGUAAUUUAAUUAUUUUAUUUUAUUUUUCAGUUGUAGCCAACCACAUGUAAUCUUGUGAUUCCCUUCUUAUAAUGUUGAAAUAGACAUAUUUUUUUGUCAGAUAAAUAAUUUGCGUAUCAGUAACUGAUUUU
rnacentral:lncRNA from 1 species